UACGAAGGGGGGCUAGCGUUGUUCGGAAUUACUGGGCGUAAAGCGCGCGUAGGCGGUGAUCUUUGUCAGAGGUGAAAGCCCGGGGCUCAACUCCGGAAUUGCCUUUGAAACGGGAUUGCUAGAGUCCGAGAGAGGAUGGCGGAAUUCCUAGUGUAGAGGUGAAAUUCGUAGAUAUUAGGAAGAACACCGGUGGCGAAGGCGGCCAUCUGGCUCGGUACUGACGCUCAGGCGCGAAAGCGUGGGGAGCAAACAGGG
rnacentral:rRNA from 1 species